rnacentral:rRNA from 1 species
AGUGAACGCUGGCGGUAGGCCUAACACAUGCAAGUCGAACGGCAGCACAGUAAGAGCUUGCUCUUACGGGUGGCGAGUGGCGGACGGGUGAGGAAUACAUCGGAAUCUACUUUUUCGUGGGGGAUAACGUAGGGAAACUUACGCUAAUACCGAAUACGACCUACGGGUGAAAGCAGGGGAUCUUCGGACCUUGCGCGAUUGAAUGAGCCGAUGUCGGAUUAGCUAGUUGGCGGGGUAAAGGCCCACCAAGGCGACGAUCCGUAGCUGGUCUGAGAGGAUGAUCAGCCACACUGGAACUGAGACACGGUCCAGACUCCUACGGGAGGCAGCAGUGGGGAAUAUUGGACAAUGGGCGCAAGCCUGAUCCAGCCAUACCGCGUGGGUGAAGAAGGCCUUCGGGUUGUAAAGCCCUUUUGUUGGGAAAGAAAAGCAGCAGGUGAAUACCCCGCUGUUCUGACGGUACCCAAAGAAUAAGCACCGGCUAACUUCGUG